AAAGAUUAAGCCAUGCAUGUCUAAGUAUAAGCAAUUAUACCGUGAAACUGCGAAUGGCUCAUUAAAUCAGUUAUCGUUUAUUUGAUAGUACCUUACUACAUGGAUAACCGUGGUAAUUCUAGAGCUAAUACAUGCUGAAAACCCCGACUUCGGAAGGGGUGUAUUUAUUAGAUAAAAAACCAAUGCCCUUCGGGGCUCUUUGGUGAUUCAUGAUAACUUAACGGAUCGCAUGGCCUUGCGCCGGCGACGGUUCAUUCAAAUUUCUGCCCUAUCAACUUUCGAUGGUAAGGUAUUGGCUUACCAUGGUUUCAACGGGUAACGGGGAAUUAGGGUUCGAUUCCGGAGAGGGAGCCUGAGAAACGGCUACCACAUCCAAGGAAGGCAGCAGGCGCGCAAAUUACCCAAUCCCGACACGGGGAGGUAGUGACAAUAAAUACUGAUACGGGGCUCUUUUGGGUCUUGUAAUCGGAAUGAGUACAAUUUAAACCCCUUAACGAGGAACAAUUGGAGGGCAAGUCUGGUGCCAGCAGCCGCGGUAAUUCCAGCUCCAAUAGCGUAUAUUAAAGUUGUUGCAGUUAAAAAGCUCGUAGUUGAACCUUGGGCCUGGCUGGCCGGUCCGCCUCACCGCGUGUACUGGUCCGGCCGGGCCUUUCCUUCUGGGGAGCCCCAUGCCCUUCACUGGGCGUGCGGGGGAACCAGGACUUUUACUUUGAAAAAAUUAGAGUGUUCAAAGCAGGCCUUUGCUCGAA
rnacentral:rRNA from 1 species